rnacentral:rRNA from 1 species
UACGGAGGGUGCGAGCGUUGUCCGGAAUCACUGGGCGUAAAGGGCGCGUAGGUGGCGGGACAAGCGUGCGGUGAAAGCCUGGGGCUCAACCUGGGAAUUGCAUUGGAUACUGGCAGGCUAGAGUGCGGUAGAGGGUAGUGGAAUUCCCGGUGUAGCAGUGAAAUGCGUAGAGAUCGGGAGGAACACCAGUGGCGAAGGCGACUACCUGGACCAGCACUGACACUGAGGCACGAAAGCGUGGGGAGCAAACAGG